rnacentral:rRNA from 1 species
CCCUUAGAUGUUCUGGGCCGCACGCGCGCUACACUGAUGCAUUCAACGAGCCUAUCCUCGACCGACAGGUCCGGGUAAUCUUUGAAUCUGCAUCGUGACGGGGAUAGAUUAUUGCAAUUAUUAAUCUUCAACGAGGAAUGCCUAGUAGGCGCAAGUCAUCAGCUUGCGUCGAUUACGUCCCUGCCCUUUGUACACACCGCCCGUCGCUCCUACCGAUUGGGUGUGCUGGUGAAAUGUUCGGAUCGGCCGUUUGUCGCGGUUUCCGCGUCAUGUGGCUGAGAAGUUCAUUAAACCCUCCCACCUAGAGGAAGGAGAAGUCGUAACA